GAUGAACGCUGGCGGCGUGCCUAAUACAUGCAAGUCGAGCGAAUGGAUUAAGAGCUUGCUCUUAUGAAGUUAGCGGCGGACGGGUGAGUAACACGUGGGUAACCUGCCCAUAAGACUGGGAUAACUCCGGGAAACCGGGGCUAAUACCGGAUAACAUUUUGAACCGCAUGGUUUGAAAUUGAAAGGCGGCUUCGGCUGUCACUUAUGGAUGGACCCGCGUCGCAUUAGCUAGUUGGUGAGGUAACGGCUCACCAAGGCAACGAUGCGUAGCCGACCUGAGAGGGUGAUCGGCCACACUGGGACUGAGACACGGCCCAGACUCCUACGGGGAGCAGCAGUAGGGAAUCUUCCGCAAUGGACGAAAGUCUGACGGAGCAACGCCGCGUGAGUGAUGAAGGCUUUCGGGUCGUAAAACUCUGUUGUUAGGGAAGAACAAGUGCUAGUUGAAUAAGCUGACACCUUGACGGUACCUAACCAGAAAGCCACGGCUAACUACGUGCCAGCAGCCGCCGUAA
rnacentral:rRNA from 1 species